UAUAUGCUGCUGGACUGAGUAAUGACUGGAAAUACAGAAGGCCUGAACAAUCACGAAGAUGCAAGCGGCUGCAGUGAAGAUAUUUGCUCUUGCUUUUGUCAUGAUGCUGGUCUCCAGCUCUGUGGCUUAUCCUGGCCAUGCUAUUGAGAAGCGCUCUAGUAGUGAUGAGAAUCGUGGCUCUACCACCAGCAACAACCUCCUGUCUCAGCUCACCCAGUUGACCACCCUGGUAAACAUCAUCCAGGCCAUCAGGAACUUAGGAUAGUAUGAUAAUGGAUGGAAUAAAAAAUAUGAAUUAAAAAAAAAUAAAACAAACUUCCAUAUUCAGACUGUUUUUUUCUUCAGCCAGUUUGAACAAAAUGUGAACAU